UUUAUUUUAUUAUCGCUGAUACUAAUGAAUUAACAAACUGCGGUGCAAACAUGAAAUGUGUAAUAAAGAAAAAGGAGAGAUGAAAGAUCUUUAGAAUUUACCAGAUAGUUAAAAACAGCAAGGUCAUCUUGUUGCUAGUGGUAAUAUAUUUGUAUAUAUAAGUAAUGUAUAUGUUAUAUAUAUAUAUAUCGCAUAUGAGUAUGUUGAGAACCUAUAUAAGCAGUGGUAGUAAUUUCAUCGUAACUUCUUUCUUCACCAGACAUCAAACUGAAGAGAGGUAAGAGGUAGAGAGUUUUAUUUCUUCCAAAAAACGAAUAAUUGAUCACUGUCCGCCAUGUUAUACAAAACAAUAUUGCAGAUUUUGUGUUGUUUGUUACUUGCGAUGGUAUUUGUUGCAUCGGUACCAAUUGAUUCGGAUCCAACAGACACAAGAAAGAGAGAAGACAUUCCAUCCAUUGGUGAUCCAGAUAACUUGUUGAUGUUAAAACUGUUAAAAAUUAAACUUCUCAAAGCAGCACUUUUAGGUUAAAAAAUGUAUAAUGUUUUAAUUUAAACAUAGACUGAGAUAAUCUUUAGUUAUUUUAAUUUUAAUUUUUAAUAAUUCAUUAAAACAUUUUUUAUCAUCACAUCUAUAUUAUAUUAUUAUCAUGUUCUUUUAAUAUUUUAUUUUUGUAACUGAUUUUUUUUUCUGCACUUUUAUUUAAUAAUAAAUAAUAAUGAUUAAUGAAAUUGAAAUUACCUAUGAUUAAAUUCAUAUAAAAAUCA